AUUCCCUAAGCGCCGUGGACU
rnacentral:piRNA from 1 species